UAUAGCUCAGUGUUAGAGUGUUUGCUUAACAAACAUAAGGCCUUAGGUUCAAUCCCUGGUA
rnacentral:tRNA from 1 species